rnacentral:rRNA from 1 species
CCCGUCAGAUGAACGCUGGCGGCAGGCCUAACACAUGCAAGUCGAGCGGCAGCGGGAAGUAGCUUGCUACUUUGCCGGCGAGCGGCGGACGGGUGAGUAAUGUCUGGGGAUCUGCCCGAUGGAGGGGGAUAACUACUGGAAACGGUAGCUAAUACCGCAUAACGUCGCAAGACCAAAGUGGGGGACCUUAGGGCCUCACACCAUCGGAUGAACCCAGAUGGGAUUAGCUAGUAGGUGGGGUAACGGCUCACCUAGGCGACGAUCCCUAGCUGGUCUGAGAGGAUGACCAGCCACACUGGAACUGAGACACGGUCCAGACUCCUACGGGAGGCAGCAGUGGGGAAUAUUGCACAAUGGGCGCAAGCCUGAUGCAGCCAUGCCGCGUGUGUGAAGAAGGCCUUCGGGUUGUAAAGCACUUUCAGCGGGGAGGAAGGGGUUGAGGUUAAUAACCUUAAUCAUUGACGUUACCCGCAGAAGAAGCACCGGCUAACUCCGUGCCAGCAGCCGCGGUAAUACGGAGGGUGCGAGCGUUAAUCGGAAUUACUGGGCGUAAAGCGUACGCAGGCGGUUUGUUAAGUCAGAUGUGAAAUCCCCGAGCUUAACUCGGGAACUGCAUUUGAAACUGGCAGGCUAGAGUCUCGUAGAGGGGGGUAGAAUUCCAGGUGUAGCGGUGAAAUGCGUAGAGAUCUGGAGGAAUACCGGUGGCGAAGGCGGCCCCCUGGACGAAGACUGACGCUCAGGUACGAAAGCGUGGGGAGCAAACAGGAUUAGAUACCCUGGUAGUCCACGCUGUAAACGAUGUCGAUUUGAAGGUUGUGGCCUUGAGCCGUGGCUUUCGGAGCUAACGCGUAAAUCGACCG